UGCCAUAUUGUUGCAGCAGCAGAGGUUCGAUUAUGGUCGGACGAACGCCGGCGGAGUGCUUACACAUGCAAGUCGAACGGCAGCACGGACUUCGGUCUGAAGAGUGGCGAACGGGUGAGUAAAUGUAUCGGAACGUGCCUAGUAGCGUGAGACCACAAAGCGUAACAUAAUGCAUAAUACCUCCUUCGGGGGAAAGUGUAUCUGGGCCCGCAGACUAUUAGAGCGCAAGCCGAUAUCGGACAAUAGUUGUGGGGUAACGGCUCACCAAGGGCGAUUAUCCGUGGGCUUGUUUCGAGAGGAUGACUGCGUCGCUGCUGACUCCUUAUGGACCUGGAGAUAAGGCCCGGACCUACGUGGAGGCAGCAGUGGGGAAUUUUGGACAAUGGGGGGAAACCCUGAUCCAGCCAUCCCGGCGUGCGAUGAAGGCCUUCGGUUAAAGCACUUUGGGUGAGCAACGUAUUUGGAUACACCGCGCAACUGACGGUACCUGCAGGCCAAGCACCGGCUAACCAUGCCAGCGGCUGCGGUAAUACGUAGGUGCAAGCGUUAAUCGGAAUUACUGGCGAAGCGUGCGCAGGCGGUCUGGAAAGAAAGACAGAACCAGAGCAAUCUUGGAACUUACUUUAACGGUCGAGCUGGGAUAAAGUUAGGGGAGGUGGAAUUCCGCGUAGUAUGUGAAAUGCGUAGAGGCGCGGAGGAACAUCGAUGGCGAAGGCAGCCUCCUGAUAAUAUCGACGUCAUGCAACAAAGUGGGAGCAAACAGCAUUAGAUACCCUGGUAGUCCACGCCCUAAACGAUGUCAACUAGCUGUUGGGGCCUUCUGGCCUAGUAGCGCCAGCUAACGCGUGAAGUUGACCGCCUGGGGAGUGGUCGCAAGAUUAAAACUCAAAGGAAUUGACGGGGACCCGCACAAGCGGUGGAUGAUGUGGAUUAAUUCGAUGCAACGCGAAACCUUACCUACCCUUGACAUGUCUGGAAUCCCGAAGAGAUUUGGGAGUGCUCGCAAGAGAACCGGAACACAGGUGCUGCAUGGCUGUCGUCAGCCUGUGUCGUGAGAUGUUGGGUUAAGUCCCGCAACGAGCGCAACCCUUGUCAUUAGUUGCUACGAAAGGGCACUCUACCGAGACUGCCGGUGACAAACUGAGGAAGGUGGGGAUGACGUCAAGUCCUCAUGGCCCCAGGGUAGGGCCUCACACGUCAUACAAUGGUCGGGACAGAGGGUCGCCAACCCGCGAGGGGGAGCCAAUCCCAGAAACCCGAUCGUAGUCCGGAUCGCAGUCUGCAAACUCGACUGCGUGAAGUCGGAAUCGCUAGCACCGGAUCAGCAUGUCGCGGUGAAUACGUUCCCGGUCUUGUACACACUGCCCGUCACACCAUGGGAGUGGGUUUUACCAGAAGUAGUUAGCCUAACCGUAUGAGGGCGAUUACCACGGUAGAUUCAUGACUGGGGUGAAGUCGUACAUGUAGCU
rnacentral:rRNA from 1 species